rnacentral:misc_RNA from 1 species
GUAUAUAUACAUUUUUAAACUAUAAAAAAAAAUUGCUACAAACCGGCGGCGACCGGAGAAUACUCGCCGUAAAAAUCAGAAAUGCCGGAAGCCAACCAUAAUCUCUCAUUAAAGCUCUCUUGCAUAUCGUCCGGAAUAAAUGGCGUCCGGCAAAGUGGACACGUUUUCUGAUCAUGAUCCAUCCAACGAUCCAAACAACUCCGGUGAAAAAUAUGCCGGCAAUUCGUCAACCGUCGGAUCUCAUCCUCUCCGUCAAACUCAUACAAACAAACUGCACAACUCUCCGGCGGGUCAACCAGCUCAGAGAACUUCACCACCGGAAGUAGCUCCCGGAUCAACGCCGCCGACACUGAAUGAAGCUCCGAGUGUGAUUCGGGUCGGGUCGGAAACGACAUUUCCGGUUCGAGAAAAU